CCUGCUCCUGCUCUGUGGAGUGGUGCCAACUAGUGCUGCACUUGCCUCUGGCUCCUGCUCAUCUUCCUGCAUAGAGUUGCCUUGCUUCUCAUGCUCCUUGAGAGCUCAUUAUAUUCUAACCCAGUGUGUUCUGAAUAAUGAACACAGAGGAGUAACUUACAUAGAUAGGGAGGCUUGUUAAAAACUUUUCUUGACGUGACCACCUGCUGAGAGUUGAUUUAGAACACUGUCACUUACUUUCAGUGCAGUCCAGUUUUGAUGAGGACAAACAAAACACAUGACAGGAGCAGUAAGCUCUGCUUUGACAUUUUGCAAUUAGGAAAUGCGACCAAAUAGACAUGUUGUCAGGAGGAAGUGCUGUAAUAUUUG